GAUGAACGCUAGCGGCAGGCCUAAUACAUGCAAGUCGAACGGUGUAGCAAUACACAGUGGCGCACGGGUGCGUAACACGUAUGCAACCUACCUAUCAUUGGGGGAUAGCCUUUGGAAACGGAGAUUAAUACCGCAUAAGACAGUAACAUGGCAUCAUGUAGCUGUUAAAGCUUUGGCGAUGAUAGAUGGGCAUGCGUCCAAUUAGUUAGUUGGCGAGGUAACGGCUCACCAAGACGAUGAUUGGUAGGGGAUCUGAGAGGAUAAUCCCCCACACUGGCACUGAGAUACGGGCCAGACUCCUACGGGAGGCAGCAGUAGGGAAUAUUGGGCAAUGGACGGAAGUCUGACCCAGCCAUGCCGCGUGCAGGAAGAAGGCGUUAUGCGUUGUAAACUGCUUUUUUAUAGGAAGAAGGAGACCUUGCGAGGUUUGGUGACGGUACUAUAAGAAUAAGCACCGGCUAACUCCGUGCCAGCCGCCGCCGUAAUAC
rnacentral:rRNA from 1 species